UAUUGGUCAAUGGGCUUACGCCUGAACCAGCCAAGUCGCGUGAGGGAAGACUGCCCUAUGGGUUGUAAACCUCUUUUGUCAGGGAGCAAUUGGCGCUACGUGUAGCGUUAUCGAGAGUACCUGAAGAAAAAGCAUCGGCUAACUCAGUGCCAGCCGCCGCGGUAAUACGGAGGAUGCGAGCGUUAUCCGGAUUUAUCGGGUUUAAAGGGUGCGUAGGCGGAAUGCCAAGUCAGCGGUAAAGUCGCGGGGCUCAACCUCGCUCCGCCGUUGAAACUGGCGUUCUUGAGUGGGCGAGAAGUAUGCGGAAUGCGUGGUGUAGCGGUGAAAUGCAUAGAUAUCACGCGGAACUCCGAUUGCGAAGGCAGCAUACCGGCGCCCUACUGACGCUGAGGCACGAAAGCGUGGGUAUCG
rnacentral:rRNA from 1 species